GAUGAACGCUGGCGGCGUGCCUAAUACAUGCAAGUCGAGCGAACAGACGAGGAUCUUCCUCCUCUGACGUUUGCGGCGGGCGGGUGAGUAACCCGUUGAGUACCUCCCUAUAAGCCUGGGAUAAAUUCGGGAAACCGGAGCUAAUACCGGAUAACAUGUUGAACCGCAUGAUACAACCAUAAACGACGGUUUUGCUGUCACUUGUGGAUUAAUCCGCGUUUCAUUCGCGAGUUCGUAAGGUAACGGUGUACCAAGGCAACGAUGGCUAACAGACCUGAGAGGGAGAUAGCCGAAACUGGAACUGAGACGCGGACCAGACUCCUACGGGAGGCAGCAGUAGCGAAUCUUCCGCAAUGGGCGAAAGCCUGACGGAGCAACGCCGCGUGAGUGAAGAAGGUCUUCGGAUCGUAAAACUCUGUUAGUCGGGAAGAACAAAUGUGUAAGUAACUAUGCACGUAUUGACGGUACUAAAUCAGAAAGCCCCGGCUAACUACGUG
rnacentral:rRNA from 1 species